GGGCUCACACAAGCGGUGGAGCAUGUGGUUUAAUUCGAUGCAACGCGAAAAACCUUACCUACUCUUGACAUACUUGGGAGCUCUUGUAAUGAGAGUGUGCCUUUUGGAACCAAGAUACAGGUGCUGCAUGGCUGUCGUCAGCUCGUGUCGUGAGAUGUUCCGUUAAGUCGGAUAACGAGCGCAACCCUUACCCUUAUUUGCCAGCGAUUCGGUCGGGAACUAUAAGGGGACUGCCGGUGAUAAACCGGAGGAAGGUGAGGACGACGUCAAGUCAUCAUGGCCCUUACGAGUAGGGCUACACACGUGCUACAAUGGGGAAUACAGACGGACGCUAAGCCGCGAGGUGGUGCUAAUCCUAGAAACCGUGCCUCAGUUCGGAUUGCAGGCUGCAACUCGCCUGCAUGAAGCCGGAAUCGCUAGUAA
rnacentral:rRNA from 1 species